UACGUAGGGUGCGAGCGUUGUCCGGAAUUAUUGGGCGUAAAGAGCUCGUAGGCGGUCUGUUGCGUCCGCUGUGAAAACUCGGGCUUAACCCCGAGCCUGCAGUGGAUACGGGCAGACUAGAGGUAGGUAGGGGAGAAUGGAAUUCCCGGUGUAGCGGUGAAAUGCGCAGAUAUCGGGAGGAACACCAGUGGCGAAGGCGGUUCUCUGGGCCUUACCUGACGCUGAGGAGCGAAAGCGUGGGGAGCGAACAGG
rnacentral:rRNA from 1 species